GACGAACGCUGGCGGCGUGCCUAAUACAUGCAAGUCGAGCGGAUCUAUCCUUCGGGAUAGGUUAGCGGCGGACGGGUGAGUAACACGUAGGUAACCUGCCUGUAAGAUCGGGAUAACUACCGGAAACGGUAGCUAAGACCGGAUAGCUGGUUUCUCCGCAUGGAGAGGUCAUGAAACACGGCGCAAGCUGUGACUUACAGAUGGGCCUGAGGCGCAUUAGCUAGUUGGUGAGGUAACGGCUCACCAAGGCGACGAUGCGUAGCCGACCUGAGAGGGUGAACGGCCACACUGGGACUGAGACACGGCCCAGACUCCUACGGGAGGCAGCAGUAGGGAAUCUUCCGCAAUGGACGCAAGUCUGACGGAGCAACGCCGCGUGAGUGAUGAAGGUUUUCGGAUCGUAAAGCUCUGUUGCCAAGGAAGAACGUCGCGGAGAGUAACUGCUCUGCGAAUGACGGUACUUGAGAAGAAAGCCCCGGCUAACUACGUGCCAGCCGCCGCAGUAA
rnacentral:rRNA from 1 species